GAGUUCAUGACUAAUUAAACAUUUAAAUAAACAAUAGAAAUGGAUUUAUCCGUAAAUAAGGUCCAUUUUGAAAAUUUUCAAAAUCCAAUGUGAGUAUCGAUACUUUUACCCAGAAUGCAAAAAAAAAAAAAUCACAAGUUGGAAACGUUUUUCAUGCUUAAAAUAACAUAUUCAUACUUCAUUAUCUCACAAGUCUAGACUAUAUACUCACAUCCAUUUACACACAACAUAUAUCAUAUAUAUUUCAAAUAAUGAUAAUUUGGUUGCCUGAGAUUAUGAAACUGUAACACCCCAAACCCGGCC
rnacentral:lncRNA from 1 species